rnacentral:rRNA from 1 species
GACGAACGCUGGCGGCGUGCUUAACACAUGCAAGUCGAACGGUAAGGCCCUUCGGGGUACACGAGUGGCGAACGGGUGAGUAACACGUGGGUGAUCUGCCCUGCACUUCGGGAUAAGCCUGGGAAACUGGGUCUAAUACCGGAUAGGACCACUGCCUGCAUGGGUGGUGGUGGAAAGCUUUUGCGGUGUGGGAUGGGCCCGCGGCCUAUCAGCUUGUUGGUGGGGUGAUGGCCUACCAAGGCGACGACGGGUAGCCGGCCUGAGAGGGUGACCGGCCACACUGGGAAUGGGAUACGGCCCAGACUCCUACGGGAGGCAGCAGUGGGGAAUAUUGCACAAUGGGCGCAAGCCUGAUGCAGCGACGCCGCGUGAGGGAUGACGGCCUUCGGGUUGUAAACCUCUUUCAGCACCGACGAAGCGCAAGUGACGGUAGGUGCAGAAGAAGCACCGGCUAACUACGUGCCAGCCGCCGCCGUAA